AGCCAGCCAGUCAGUGGUUAAACUGGUCGAGGAUCCUCCCUUUAGGUUGGAGGAACAGUUCACCAUCACUACAGAAAACAGAAAGAUCAAUCCAUUAUAGACAGUAAAGUCUCGUCCAACGAAAACUUGUUAUUUGUGAGCUAUAAAUGAAAACUGAAGUUAUAUAAACAUUUUGAACAUGAAAUUAGUGACUGAUAAUUAUAAUAUUAUUCAUGUAACUAAAAAUAACAAACAAAUAUACAGUAUUUAAAAUUUUCUUAACCUACAUAGAUAAAUUUUACAAUAUUAAAAUAAACAAACACCCAGAAUAAAUAUAUUACCGUUUCCAUUCAAUCCCCAUGCCAAUAAAAGAAAAUGUAAGAAAUCCAUGCCACAAAACUGUAAACAGUGGUUCGGGUUCUCUUUUAUGACCAAAAUUUUUAUAUGUUCGUUUAUCUACCCGGUACACUUCUCUUAAUUUACGCAACAUUUUAAGACUAGUUUAUAUUUACAGUAUCGCUAAAUGAA